GAUGAACGCUGGCGGCGUGCCUAAUACAUGCAAGUCGAGCGAAUGGAUUAAGAGCUUGCUCUUAUGAAGUUAGCGGCGGACGGGUGAGUAACACGUGGGUAACCUGCCCAUAAGACUGGGAUAACUCCGGGAAACCGGGGCUAAUACCGGAUAACAUUUUGAACCGCAUGGUUCGAAAUUGAAAGGCGGCUUCGGCUGUCACUUAUGGAUGGACCCGCGUCGCAUUAGCUAGUUGGUGAGGUAACGGAUCACCAAGGCAACGAUGGGUAGCCGACCUGAGUGGGUGAGCGGCCCCACUGGGACUGGGACACAGCACAGACUCCUACGGGAGGCAGCAGUAGGGAAUCUUCCGAAAUGGACGAAAGUCUGACGGAGCAACGCCGCGGGAGUGAUGAAGGCUUUCGGGUCGUAAAACUCUGUUGUUAGGGAAGAACAAGUGCUAGUUGAAUAAGCUGGCACCUUGACGGUACCUAACCAGAAAGCCACGGCUAACUACGUGCCAGCCGCCGCAGUAA
rnacentral:rRNA from 1 species